UGGAUCCAGACUUUGAUUCUGGCUCAGGAUGAACGCUAGCUACAGGCUUAACACAUGCAAGUCGAGGGGAAACGACAUCGAAAGCUUGCUUUUGAUGGGCGUCGACCGGCGCACGGGUGAGUAACGCGUAUCCAACCUGCCCACCACUUGGGGAUAACCUUGCGAAAGUAAGACUAAUACCCAAUGACGUCUCUAGAAGACAUCUGAAAGAGAUUAAAGAUUUAUCGGUGAUGGAUGGGGAUGCGUCUGAUUAGCUUGUUGGCGGGGUAACGGCCCACCAAGGCUACGAUCAGUAGGGGUUCUGAGAGGAAGGUCCCCCACAUUGGAACUGAGACUCGGUCCAAACUCCUACGGGAGGCAGCAGUGAGGAAUAUUGGUCAAUGGACGAGAGUCUGAACCAGCCAAGUAGCGUGCAGGAUGACGGCCCUAUGGGUUGUAAACUGCUUUUAUAAGGGAAUAAAGUGAGUCUCGUGAGGCUUUUUGCAUGUACCUUAUGAAUAAGGACCGGCUAAUUCCGUGCCAGCAGCCGCGGUAAUACGGAAGGUCCGGGCGUUAUCCGGAUUUAUUGGGUUUAAAGGGAGCGUAGGCCGGAGAUUAAGCGUGUUGUGAAAUGUAGACGCUCAACGUCUGCACUGCAGCGCGAACUGGUUUCCUUGAGUACGCACAAAGUGGGCGGAAUUCGUGGUGUAGCGGUGAAAUGCUUAGAUAUCACGAAGAACUCCGAUUGCGAAGGCAGCUCACUGGAGCGCAACUGACGCUGAAGCUCGAAAGUGCGGGUAUCGAACAGGAUUAGAUACCCUGGUAGUCCGCACGGUAAACGAUGGAUGCCCGCUGUUGGUCUGAAUAGGUCAGCGGCCAAGCGAAAGCAUUAAGCAUCCCACCUGGGGAGUACGUCGGCAACGGUGCAACUCAAAUGAAUUGACGGA
rnacentral:rRNA from 1 species